GGGCCCGCACAAGCGGUGGAGCAUGUGGUUUAAUUCGAUGAUACGCGAGGAACCUUACCAGGGCUUAAAUGCAGAACGACAGAGGUGGAAACACCUCCUUCUUCGGACUCAUUACAAGGUGCUGCAUGGUUGUCGUCAGCUCGUGCCGUGAGGUGUCAGGUUAAGUCCUAUAACGAGCGCAACCCCUAUCGUUAGUUGCCAUCAAGUAAAGUUGGGAACUCUAGCGAAACUGCCGGUGCAAACCGUGAGGAAGGUGGGGAUGACGUCAAAUCAUCACGGCCCUUACGUUCUGGGCUACACACGUGCUACAAUGGCCGGUACAGAAAGCAGCCACUAUGCGAAUAGGAGCUAAUCUUUAAAACCGGUCUCAGUUCGGAUCGCAGUCUGCAACUCGACUGCGUGAAGCUGGAAUCGCUAGUAA
rnacentral:rRNA from 1 species